rnacentral:rRNA from 1 species
CGCGUAGGCGGUCCAGUUAGUCGGAUGUGAAAGCCCUGGGCUCAACCCAGGAAGUGCAUCCGAAACUGCUGGACUUGAGUACGGGAGAGGGAAGUGGAAUUCCUGGUGUAGGGGUGAAAUCCGUAGAUAUCAGGAGGAACACCGGUGGCGAAGGCGACUUCCUGGACCGAUACUGACGCUGAGGCGCGAAAGCGUGGGGAGCAAACAGGAUUAGAUACCCUGGUAGUCCACGCCGUAAACGGUGGGCACUAGGUGUAGCGGGUAUUGACCCCCGCUGUGCCGUAGCUAACGCAUUAAGUGCCCCGCCUGGGGAUUACGGCCGCAAGGUUGAA